GACGAACGCUGGCGGCGUGCUUAACACAUGCAAGUCGAACGUGAUUUUUGUGGAAAUUCUUUCGGGAAUGGAAAUGAAAUGGAAGUGGCGAACGGGUGAGUAACACGUGAGCAACCUACCUUACACAGGGGGAUAGCCGUUGGAAACGACGAUUAAUACCGCAUGAGACCACAGAAUCGCAUGAUAUAGGGGUCAAAGAUUUAUCGGUGUAAGAAGGGCUCGCGUCUGAUUAGCUAGUUGGAAGGGUAAAGGCCUACCAAGGCGACGAUCAGUAGCCGGUCUGAGAGGAUGAACGGCCACAUUGGAACUGAGACACGGUCCAAACUCCUACGGGAGGCAGCAGUGGGGAAUAUUGCACAAUGGGGGGAACCCUGAUGCAGCGACGCCGCGUGAGCGAAGAAGGUUUUCGAAUCGUAAAGCUCUGUCCUAUGAGAAGAUAAUGACGGUAUCAUAGGAGGAAGCCCCGGCUAAAUACGUG
rnacentral:rRNA from 1 species